rnacentral:rRNA from 1 species
CAGUCGCCACGGGAAUACGAAGGGGGCUAGCGUUGUUCGGAAUUACUGGGCGUAAAGGGCGCGUAGGCGGCCAUUCAAGUUAGAUGUGAAAGCCCUGGGCUCAACCUAGGAAUUGCAUUUGAUACUGUUUGGCUUGAGUUCGGGAGAGGUAAGUGGAAUUCCCAGUGUAGAGGUGAAAUUCGUAGAUAUUGGGAAGAACACCAGUGGCGAAGGCGGCUCACUGGACCGACACUGACGCUGAGGCGCGAAAGCGUGGGGAGCAAACAGGAUUAGAUACCCCUGUAGUCCCUGUCUCUUAUAA